rnacentral:tRNA from 1 species
GCCUGAGUGGCUCAGUCAGUUGAGCGUCUGACUUCGGCUCAGGUCGUGAUCUCAUGGUUCGUGAGUUCGAGCCCCACAUCAGGCU